rnacentral:rRNA from 1 species
CCUACGGGAGACAGCAGUGGGGAAUAUUGCACAAUGGGGGAAACCCUGAUGCAGCGACGCCGCGUGAGUGAAGAAGUAUUUCGGUAUGUAAAGCCCUAUCAGCAGGGAAGAACAAUGACGGUACCUGACUAAGAAGCACCGGCUAAAUACGUGCCAGCAGCCGCGGUAAUACGGAUGGUGCAAGCGUUAUCCGGAUUUACUGGGUGUAACGGGAGCGCAGGCGGCGCGUUAAGCCUGGUGUGAAAGCCCGCGGCCCAACCGCGGGACUGCUCUUGGAACUGCAUGGCUGGAGUACAGGAGGGGCAGGCGGAAUUCCUAGUGUAGCGGUGAAAUGCGUAGAUAUUAGGAGGAACACCGGUGGCGAAGGCGGCCUGCUGGACUGUGACUGACGUUGAGGCCCGAAGGCGUGGGGAGCAAACAGGAUUAGAUAUCCUAGUAGUC